GAUGAACGCUGGCGGCGUGCCUAAUACAUGCAAGUCGAGCGAACAGACGAGGAGCUUGCUCCUCUGACGUUAGCGGCGGACGGGUGAGUAACACGUGGAUAACCUACCUAUAAGACUGGGAUAACUUCGGGAAACCGGAGCUAAUACCGGAUAAUAUAUUGAACCUCAUGGUUCAAUAGUGAAAGACGGUUUUGCUGUCACUUAUAGAUGGAUCCGCGCCGCAUUAGCUAGUUGGUAAGGUAACGGCUUACCAAGGCAACGAUGCGUAGCCGACCUGAGAGGGUGAUAGGCCACACUGGAACUGAGACACGGUCCAGACUCCUACGGGAGGCAGCAGUAGGGAAUCUUCCGCAAUGGGCGAAAGCCUGACGGAGCAACGCCGCGUGAGUGAUGAAGGUCUUCGGAUCGUAAAACUCUGUUAUUAGGGAAGAACAAAUGUGUAAGUAACUAUGCACGUCUUGACGGUACCUAAUCAGAAAGCCACGGCUAACUACGUG
rnacentral:rRNA from 1 species